ensembl:lncRNA
CGUCGCUUCGGGAAGCACUGAGAGACGGACGUGGAAGGCUAACCUGUGGACCACCGCGGAGCUAGUAAUCUUCAUGGAAUCUCAGUUUCCCCUUCUGAGAAGCGGCGGCCAGUCCUCCGCAGGCUUUUGGGAGAAGACAGCUUCGAGCUGAGGCCUGAGGGAUGAGUAGUAGUUCUUAUGCCCCGAGAGUGAUGUUGAGUGGGAGAGCCUAAGUCUCGAAUUUGAAGACUUUAGGACGCCACCGCACGGAGCUCAGAGGAGGUUGCAUCUGACCUUAUUGUUGUAGUGACCCUAUUGUUAAUGGACUGGGAGACUUUCAAGACGUUUAAAAUGUAUCGAGGGUGCUGACAAGACAGGGAAGACAUUUAGAUUUGAGUGCGGCGUCCCGCGUGUGUAGCAGUCUCCUUGACCCGCAGUGUAGAGGGCAGGGAUACGGGGAUGACCCUGUGACCACCAUCCUGGCAGGAAGAGGUCCUGGGGACUGAGAAAUCUUGACUGGCUGGAAAGGCAUAUCCUGGAAGGAAAGGAAUCCGGAGAAUCUGAAGUGGGGGAAGUGAGGGUGGGGAGAAAUAGGGCAGAGUCAAGGACAACUUUGUGGUGUCAAGAUUAGGUGCCUGGGCUGUUGCUUGAGGGGCUCUUGCUCAGUCGUGUCCGACUCUUUGCGACGCCAUGGACUAUGCAGUCUGUGGAAUUCUCCAGGCCAGAAGGGAUAGGCUCCCACCCACUAUCCCAGGGUAGCCUUUCCCUUCUCCAGGGGAUCUUCCCAACCCAAGGCUCGAACCCAGGUUCCCCGCAUUGCCUGGGGCCGAGGUGGAGGGGGGCGGGGUGAUUCUUUACCAGCUGAGCCACAAAGUGAAAGUGAAAGUCGCUCAGUUGUGUCCAGCUCUGCAACCCCAUGGACUGUACAGUCCACGGAAUUCUCCAGGCCGGAAUACUGGAGUGGGUAGCCUAUCCCUUCUCCAGGAGAUCUUAACCCAGGGAUAGAACCGGGGGUUUCCUGCAUUACAGGCGGAUUCUUUACCAAUUGAGCUAUGAGGGAAGUCACAAUAGCCUUAGCCUGAGACUACAUUGGGUCUUUGUUUUCAUAUAAUGGUAUUCCUUUUCAUAAAGACCAGUAGUUAAUGAAAUGUGCCUGGGUUUUCAUUUUUUCAAAUAUUUCUCAUUGAACUCUCUACAGAUCAAAAAAUAUUGCCCAGCUAAGGUGCUACCUAAUAUUGGGUGCUAAAGAUAGAUUCCUACAGGGAAACAGGUGCUGAAUAAAAGUCUCAAGGGUCUUGGGAGACCUGCCUAUCAGCUCCAUACCUUGAAAGAAAUCUGUGACCAAGGCAGGCAACAAGCUAACAGAAAUUCAUAUCCCCAGAACAUUCUGAUCAGAAGGAGUUUCAAACCAGAAAUGCUCAUUUUACAAGUAAGGAAAUAGCUCCCAAGUAAACUAAUAAAUAAUAUCACUGUUUAUGACCGUCGAUCUGCCUUCCAGUCAGUGAGGCAGAAAUUUAAAAAUCCACACUAUGUCAGGGAUGACGGCAUUUUGAGGAGGGGGAAAAAAAAACAAAAACAUGCAGUUUCUGAGAGCACCUUGGAUAAAGUGGUUAAGAGAAGUGUCCCUGAGGAGGUGAUGCUGAAGUGGAUCUGAAGGAAGUGAGGGAUGGAGCCAAGCAAAGGCUCAAACACAGAGCAGGCUUGGUGUGUUCCAGAAAAAGCAAGGCCAUACUGGAGCAGAAGAGUAAAAAGAAACAAGAUGGGGCUUCCCUUGUGGCUCAAAUGGUAAAGAAUCCACCCGCAAUGUGGGAGACCUGGGUUCUAUCCCUG